AUCACCAGUUAAAGGAUUAACAUGUUCUUGUAAUAUAACUAGUGCUAGAAAGUUUAAUUUUCAAAUUAAAUACAUCUUCUUGGAAAGCAGAUCGUGUAACAAGGUCACAGUAACAGUUAACGAUAAACCUGUAUACACAUGUAACGAUGAUGACCUAAUUCUCGCAGAAUUCGACGGUCACCCGAUCUACAGCAAAGCUAUGAUAGAGUUCAAUGAUUUGACCGCUGACUCCCUUGAUGUUAUAUGGAUAGAUUUUUACGGUCCUGAGAUGGUGGAGGCGUCAUGUGAUUGUUUUAAACCAGAGACGAACGGCGGUUGGAGUAACUGGUCGGAAUACAGUAUCUGCUCUGUUUCAUGUGGUGGAGGUAACAAAACCAGGACAAGGAAUUGUGAUAAUCCUGCAGUAGCUAAUGGUGGAAUGUAUUGUAUUGGUAACUCUACAGAGACAGUUGAAUGUAAUCAACAGUGUCCCGUCGGCCUAGAGUAUGAGGUUAUGCUAACAGGGAUUAUAAGUGGUGUUUUGGUAUUCAUCAUUUUUGCAGGUUUUAUAACAUGGUUUAUAAGACAAAAUAUCAAGAAACCUCAAACAACUGUCCAUUUUGAAAACACAACAAGCCAUAAUGACAAUAUAACAGAACAUGUGUAUGACAUCAUAACAGAUCACACUAUCCCUAACGUGCAUGUAAACACAAAAGACCAAGGUGAACCAACCAGCCAUUGUGACAAUAUAACAGAUGACUUGUAUGACACUAUCGCUAACGUACAUGUAAACACAAAAGACCAAGGUGAACCAACCAGCCAUUAUGACAAUAUAACAGAUGACACUAUCGCUAACGUGGAUGUAAACACAAAAGACCAAGGUGAACCAACCAGCCAUUAUGACAAUAUAACAGAUGACUUGUAUGACACUAUCGCUAACGUGCAUGUAAACACAAAAGACCAAGGGCCAGGUGAACCAACACAGCAUGAAAACAACACAGUACGGGAGUGUGACAACGACACAGUAGAUACAUUAAAGUAAUUAACAAAUGAAAUGGGGUUUAAAGUCCUAGUGUUUUGCACAAGAUAAGUAAUUAAAGGGUAUAUUUAAUAUGUUUAACGGGCAUUAUCAAGUGCUAAAUCUGCCUAUUGCAGAUCUUUCUUUAGACCUAAUGUUAUAUAAAUUAUUAAUUAGAUAUUUAUUAACUUGACAUCUCGAUGCCAUCGGAUGCUCUAGAUUUUCAAUAGAUUUAGAUACGAUUUGUGUUUAACAAUUUAACUUUAAAAUGGAUAAUCGAGACUUUUUUUUAUUAUCGUUACUAACGGUAACAAUGACAAUUGUGGCUAAACUGUUCUGCGAUCGACGAUAACUCUGGAAUGAACUAAUUUUACUGGAAUUUUCAGCAUAUGCUCAGUAUCUAUCUUUUUUAACCAUUAUGGCGACACCUGUCAGCUCUUUAUCUAAAUUUGACAUGAUGUAUGUUUAUUGUAAAUGUUUUAAUAUUAGUAUGUACAUACGGCUCUGCUAUUUUUAUCUGUUCGGGUCCUUUUCAGGAAUGUAACCCCUCCCACUCCCUUAAACCAUAGUCCCACAUCUGGUUGUCUUUUGUACAAGUAAACUAUCGUAAUCUUAAAAACUAAUAAUAUGGAUGUUGCUACAGUUACCAAAUACCGUUUCAAAUGUUUGUACAUAAAUAUAACUAAUUAUUUUGUAUCGAAUACUAUUUAAAUGUGUAAACUUUA